ACCUACGGGGGGCAGCAGUGAGGAAUAUUGGUCAAUGGUCGGGAGACUGAACCAGCCAAGCCGCGCGAGGGAGGAAGGUACAGAGUAUCGUAAACCUCUUUUGUCAGGGAACAAAGGCGGGGACGUGUCCCCGGAUGAGUGUACCUGAAGAAAAAGCAUCGGCUAACUCCGUGCCAGCAGCCGCGGUAAUACGGAGGAUGCGAGCGUUAUCCGGAUUUAUUGGGUUUAAAGGGUGCGCAGGCGGUCUGUUAAGUCAGCGGUCAAAGCCCGGGGCUCAACCCCGGCCCGCCGUUGAAACUGGCAGU
rnacentral:rRNA from 1 species